UACGGGGGGGGCAAGCGUUGUUCGGAAUUACUGGGCGUAAAGGGCUCGUAGGUGGCCAACUAAGUCAGACGUGAAAUCCCUCGGCUUAACCGGGGAACUGCGUCUGAUACUGGAUGGCUUGAGUUUGGGAGAGGGACGCGGAAUUCCAGGUGUAGCGGUGAAAUGCGUAGAUAUCUGGAGGAACACCGGUGGCGAAGGCGGCGUCCUGGACCAACACUGACACUGAGGUGCGAAAGCUAGGGUAGCAAACGGG
rnacentral:rRNA from 1 species